GACGUAGGGCGCGAGCGUUGUCCGGAUUUAUUGGGCGUAAAGAGCUCGUAGGCGGCUUGUUGCGUCGACCGUGAAAACCCGGGGCUCAACUUCGGGCUUGCGGUCGAUACGGGCGGGCUAGAGUUCGGUAGGGGAGACUGGAAUUCCUGGUGUAGCGGUGAAAUGCGCAGAUAUCAGGAGGAACACCGGUGGCGAAGGCGGGUCUCUGGGCCGGAACUGACGCUGAGGAGCGAAAGCGUGGGGAGCGAACAGG
rnacentral:rRNA from 1 species